rnacentral:rRNA from 1 species
CAGUCGCCACGGUAAAACAGAGGGUGCAAGCGUUAAUCGGAUUUACUGGGCGUAAAGGGCGCGUAGGUGGUUAUUUAAGUGAGAUGUGAAAGCCCCGGGCUUAACCUGGGAACUGCAUCUUAUACUGGGUAACUGGAGUGCAGUAGAGGGUAGUGGAAUUUCCGGUGUAGCGGUGAAAUGCGUAGAUAUCGGAAGGAACACCAGUGGCGAAGGCGGCUACCUGGACUGAGACUGACACUGAGGCGCGAGAGCGUGGGGAGCAAACAGGAUUAGAUACCCGCGUAGUCCCUGUCUCUUAUAC